rnacentral:rRNA from 1 species
GUCCGCACCGUAAACGAUGAUUACUCGUUGUUGGCGAUAUGACAGUCAGCGACCAAGCGAAAGCGAUAAGUAAUCCACCUGGGGAGUACGCCGGCAACGGUGAAACUCAAAGGAAUUGACGGGGGCCCCGCACAAGCGGAGGAGCAUGUGGUUUAAUUCGAUGAUACGCGAGGAACCUUACCUGGGCUUGAAAGUUAGCGACCGGUCCUGAAAGGGAUCUUCCAGCAAUGGCGCGAAACUAGGUGCUGCAUGGCUGUCGU